rnacentral:rRNA from 1 species
UUUUUGCAUAUCAAAAAGCGGAGGAAAAGAAACCAACAGGGAUUGCCCUAGUAACGGCGAGUGAAGCGGCAACAGCUCAAAUUUGAAAUCUGGCUCUCGGGCCCGAGUUGUAAUUUGUAGAGGAUACUUUUGAUGCGGUGCCUUCCGAGUUCCCUGGAACGGGACGCCAUAGAGGGUGAGAGCCCCGUCUGGUUGGAUGCCAAAUCUCUGUAAAGUUCCUUCAACGAGUCGAGUAGUUUGGGAAUGCUGCUCUAAAUGGGAGGUAUAUGUCUUCUAAAGCUAAAUACCGGCCAGAGACCGAUAGCGCACAAGUAGAGUGAUCGAAAGAUGAAAAGCACUUUGAAAAGAGAGUUAAAAAGUACGUGAAAUUGUUGAAAGGGAAGCGUUUAUGACCAGACUUGGGCUUGGUUAAUCAUCUGGGGUUCUCCCCAGUGCACUUUUCCAGUCCAGGCCAGCAUCAGUUUUCCCCGGGGGAUAAAGGCGGCGGGAAUGUGGCUCUCUUCGGGGAGUGUUAUAGCCCACCGUGUAAUACCCUGGGGGGGACUGAGGUUCGCGCAUCUGCAAGGAUGCUGGCGUAAUGGUCAUCAACGACCCGUCUUGAAACACGG